UACAGAGGGGGCAAGCGUUGUUCGGAAUUACUGGGCGUAAAGGGCGCGUAGGCGGCCUGCUAAGUCGAACGUGAAAUCCCUGGGCUCAACCCAGGAACUGCGUCCGAUACUGGUUGGCUUGAAUCCGGGAGAGGGAUGCGGAAUUCCAGGUGUAGCGGUGAAAUGCGUAGAUAUCUGGAGGAACACCGGUGGCGAAGGCGGCAUCCUGGACCGACACUGACGCUGAGAAGCGAAAGCCAGGGGAGCAAACGGG
rnacentral:rRNA from 1 species